rnacentral:lncRNA from 10 species
UGACUUCUUUUCCUCUGAGUAGAUAACCCAGUAGUGGAAUUGCAGGAUCAAAUGGUAGUUCUACUUUUAUUUCCUUAAGGAAUCUCCACAUUGUUUUUCAUAGGGGUUGUACUAGUUUACAUUCCCACCAGUAGUGUAGAAAUGUUCCCUUUCACCACAUCCACACCAAUAAAAUUUUUAUUAAUAUAUAACUCACAUAUAGUACAAAUUACCACUUUUAUGUGUACAAUUCAGUGGUUUCUUGAAUAUACACAAGGUUGUGCAACCUUAACCACUAUCUAAUUCCAGAA